rnacentral:rRNA from 1 species
UACGAAGGGGGCUAGCGUUGCUCGGAAUCACUGGGCGUAAAGGGUGCGUAGGCGGGUCUUUAAGUCAGGGGUGAAAUCCUGGAGCUCAACUCCAGAACUGCCUUUGAUACUGAGGAUCUUGAGUUCGGGAGAGGUGAGUGGAACUGCGAGUGUAGAGGUGAAAUUCGUAGAUAUUCGUCAAGAACACCAGUGGCGAAGGCGGCUCACUGGCCCGAUACUGACGCUGAGGCACGAAAGCGUGGGGAGCAAACAGG